rnacentral:rRNA from 1 species
GACAGAGGAUGCAAGCGUUAUCCGGAAUGAUUGGGGCGUAAAGCGUCUGUAGGUGGCUUUUAAGUUCGCCGUCAAAUCCCAGGGCUCAACCCUGGACAGGCGGUGGAAACUAACCAAGCUGGAGUACGGUAGGGGCGAGAGGGAAUUUCCGGUGGAGCGGUGAAAUGCGUAGAGAUCGGAAAGAAACACCAACGGCGAAAGCACUCUGCUGGGCCGACACUGACACUGAGAGACGAAAGCUAGGGGAGCGAAUGGGGAUUAGAUACCCCCCGUAGU